CUCUCUAGAGUUUAAUGAUUAAUGGUUUUCCUAUCAUCAUGACUUGAGUCGUAGGUAGAAAACUAAGCUCAUUAAUGGGUUAUGCAAGACGAGCAAUGCAACAUGUGAAAACAUGAAAACAUCAAUCACUCAUGCAUAAAAUUGAAUAAGGGUGUGUACUCUAUGCAUGUUGUAAAGGCCCGAAAUUUAAAUGAAACUAAAGUCAUAAAUUAAAAUUGGAAGCAAAAUAAUAAAGUUAGGGUUUACAUUCCUUACACAAUAAUUUAGAAUACCUAAUAGGGUUACGAGAAUGUCUAUUCUAAAAGAAUAAACGAAAAUUAAAGAAAUAAACGAAAGUCAAUUAACUAAGUAAUUCUCGGACGACCUUUACUAGCUCUUGAAGGGAGUCCGAGUGGUGAACUAUUCAC
rnacentral:lncRNA from 1 species